rnacentral:lncRNA from 1 species
UAGCAUACACUUUCCAAAGAAUCUCUCUCCUCUAACGCUCAUAAGGGAGAGAGGCCAGCUAGCAUGGGCGUGGAAAAUAGCUGGCAAUGUAAAAGAAUCUCUCUCCAACGAACAGAGAAAAAAAAAAGAAAAUAAUAAAUCACUCUGACUCCACUCAUGUUUUACCUCCCCUCUCUCUCAUAACAACUCCCUCUCCCUUCAUUCAGCUACUCACCACCUGACACUCUACUAAAAACCUCUCUCUUUUCUCUCUCAGUAAAAGGAAAAGAAAAUAAUAAAGACAAAAAA